CCUACGGGAGGCAGCAGUAGGGAAUUUUCGUCAAUGGGCGCAAGCCUGAACGAGCAAUGCCGCGUGAACGAGGAAGGUCUUCGGAUCGUAAAGUUCUGUUGAAGGGGAAAAAGAGCGGAGAGAGGAAAUGGUCUCCGAUUGAUAUUACCCUUCGAGGAAGUCACGGCUAACUACGUGCCAGCAGCGGCGGUAAUACGUAGGGGGCGAGCGUUAUCCGAAAUGAUGGGGCGUAAAGGGUUCGUAGGCGGCCUGCUAAGUCUGGAGUGAAAGGUACCGGCUCAACCGGUACAGGCUCUGGAAACUGGCGGGCUAGAGAGCAGAAGAGUGCGGUGGAAAUCCAUGUGUAGCGGUAAAAUGCGUAGAUAUAUGGAAGAACACCAGUGGCGAAGGCGGCCGCCUGGCCUGUUACUGACGCUGAGGCACGAAAGCGUGGGGAGCAAAUAGGAUUAGAUACCCCGUAGUC
rnacentral:rRNA from 1 species